rnacentral:rRNA from 1 species
CAGCAGCCGCGGUAAUACGAAGGGUGCAAGCGUUACUCGGAAUUACUGGGCGUAAAGCGUGCGUAGGUGGUGGUUUAAGUCCGUUGUGAAAGCCCUGGGCUCAACCUGGGAAUUGCAGUGGAUACUGGGUCACUAGAGUGUGGUAGAGGAUAGUGGAAUUUCCGGUGUAGCAGUGAAAUGCGUAGAGAUCGGAAGGAACAUCUGUGGCGAAGGCGACUAUCUGGGCCAACACUGACACUGAGGCACGAAAGCGUGGGGAGCAAACAGGAUUAGAGACCCGCGUAGUCCCUGUCUCUUAUAA